rnacentral:rRNA from 1 species
GAUGAACGCUGGCGGCGUGCCUAAUACAUGCAAGUCGAGCGAACGGACGAGAAGCUUGCUUCUCUGAUGUUAGCGGCGGACGGGUGAGUAACACGUGGAUAACCUACCUAUAAGACUGGGAUAACUUCGGGAAACCGUAGCUAAUACCGGAUAAUAUUUUGAACCGCAUGGUUCAAAAGUGAAAGACGGUCUUGCUGUCACUUAUAGAUGGAUCCGCGCUGCAUUAGCUAGUUGGUAAGGUAACGGCUUACCAAGGCAACGAUGCAUAGCCGACCUGAGAGGGUGAUCGGCCACACUGGAACUGAGACACGGUCCAGACUCCUACGGGAGGCAGCAGUAGGGAAUCUUCCGCAAUGGGCGAAAGCCUGACGGAGCAACGCCGCGUGAGUGAUGAAGGUCUUCGGAUCGUAAAACUCUGUUAUUAGGGAAGAACAUAUGUGUAAGUAACUGUGCACAUCUUGACGGUACCUAAUCAGAAAGCCACGGCUAACUACGUGCCAGCAGCCGCGGUAAUACGUAGGUGGCAAGCGUUAUCCGGAAUUAUUGGGCGUAAAGCGCGCGUAGCGGUUUUUUAAGUCUGAUGUGAAAGCCCACGGCUCAACCGUGGAGGGUCAUUGGAAACUGGAAAACUUGAGUGCAGAAGAGGAAAGUGGAAUUCCAUGUGUAGCGGUGAAAUGCGCAGAGAUAUGGAGGAACACCAGUGGCGAAGGCGACUUUCUGGUCUGUAACUGACGCUGAUGUGCGAAAGCGUGGGGAUCAAACAGGAUUGGAUACCCUGGUAGUCCACGCCGUAAACGAUGAGUGCUAAGUGUUAGGGGGUUUCCGCCCCUUAGUGCUGCAGCUAACGCAUUAAGCACUCCGCCUGGGGAGUACGACCGCAAGGUUGAAACUCAAAGGAAUUGACGGGGACCCACACAAGCGGUGGAGCAUGUGGUUUAAUUCGAAGCAACGCGAAGAACCUUACCAAAUCUUGACAUCCUUUGACAACUCUAGAGAUAGAGCCUUCCCCUUCGGGGGACAAAGUGACAGGUGGUGCAUGGUUGUCGUCAGCUCGUGUCGUGAGAUGUUGGGUUAAGUCCCGCAACGAGCGCAACCCUUAAGCUUAGUUGCCAUCAUUAAGUUGGGCACUCUAAGUUGACUGCCGGUGACAAACCGGAGGAAGGUGGGGAUGACGUCAAAUCAUCAUGCCCCUUAUGAUUUGGGCUACACACGUGCUACAAUGGACAAUACAAAGGGCAGCGAAACCGCGAGGUCAAGCAAAUCCCAUAAAGUUGUUCUCAGUUCGGAUUGUAGUCUGCAACUCGACUACAUGAAGCUGGAAUCGCUAGUAAUCGUAGAUCAGCAUGCUACGGUGAAUACGUUCCCGGGUCU